AUGAGCUCCUAUUUAGUGAGUGAUCUUGUGGAUGCUUAUCAGGCUCUCUCUACAUUACAUGGGAUCACUCCUCAGCAGCUGAUUGAGUUCAUUGGAUGAGUACUUCAGAGAUCCUCGACUAGUACCAACCAUGGUGGAGGAGAUUCAGAGCCUAGUAGUUCCAGGCAGGAGGAUAUUUCGAUACCUCCUACAACUCCCGAGACUACAGUGCAUCCUACACCACAGACUCUAGGAGUUCGGCGAAGAGGUUUUUCAUCUGUUCUUAAGGAUGACUUUACUGAUCCAGAUGCUGUGUCAUUACACUCUUCGGAGAUAUCUAGGAUCGGGUGUGCAUUCGAGGAGAGGAAUAAGGAGAUUAUGAUGGUCGUGAGAUAUGAAGAUUUGCAGGCACCUGGUGAUCCUAUUCAUCAGGAAUACAUAGGCCCCUGGAGUAGGUGAUGGAUCAGAUCGGGGAUCGGGACAGGGCGCGACAUAGCUCAUUAUUGUUAUAUACAUUCUUGCUUCUUUUAUUCUGAAUAUAUCUGACAUUUCUACUAUGUAUAUGUUGUGGACAUUUCUAUUAUAUGGAUAUAUCUGACAUUUAUACAUGUUGUGAACAUUAUAUUUCUAUUAUGCACUCGAUUUCUAUUAUACAUGAACUAUGGACAUUGCAUUUGUAGCCUUAUUUUAGACAUUAUAC